rnacentral:lncRNA from 1 species
AUGAAUGAAAAGUCCGGAGCCGGAGCGCACUGGGCCAGAGCAGCGGCGGAGGCCGAUCGGGGAGCUGGGAAGGCGAGACCCGCACCGCCCAGCUCGGCCUGGCUCAGUGGAGGCAGACAACUGGGAGAGCUUUUCCGUCCCUGCGUCUGCCGAGCGCGGGCGCCCGGAACGCAGGUCUGCGGUGCUCCACGGGCUGUAGCCGCGCGGAGGACGGCGCCAAGGGUGGCUCUCACUUUCUCACCUGAGCUGGGGCGGGUGGGUGCCCCACCACCCUCCCGCCCUUUUUCCUUCCCUGUGGAUGACUGAGCCGCGUCCAGCACCACGGACAGCGCCCGCGGACAUUCUACAACCUUGUUCUUGUCUUGGGAAGUCCUUCCUAUCUAACCAAGACCUAUACUACUGUAGCACCAGUUCUUUGACUUGUAGCUUGACAUUGCUGAGUGGAGAG